rnacentral:misc_RNA from 1 species
UGUACACAUAACCUCCUUCCAG